UAGGGAAUCUUCCGCAAUGGACGCAAGUCUGACGGAGCAACGCCGCGUGAGUGAAGAAGGUUUUCGGAUCGUAAAGCUCUGUUGCCAGGGAAGAACGGGACGGGGAGUAACUGCCCUGUUCAUGACGGUACCUGAGAAGAAAGCCCCGGCUAACUACGUGCCAGCAGCCGCGGUAAUACGUAGGGGGCAAGCGUUGUCCGGAAUUAUUGGGCGUAAAGCGCGCGCAGGCGGACUUGUAAGUCUGGUGUCUAAGACUGGGGCUCAACCCUGGAACGCACCGGAAACUGCAAGACUGGAGUGCAGGAGAGGAAAGUGGAAUUCCACGUGUAGCGGUGAAAUGCGUAGAGAUGUGGAGGAACACCAGUGGCGAAGGCGACUUUCUGGCCUGUAACUGACGCUGAGGCGCGAAAGCGUGGGGAGCAAACA
rnacentral:rRNA from 1 species